UACGGGGGGAGCAAGCGUUGUUCGGAUUUAUUGGGCGGAAAGAGCUCGUAGGCGGUUUGUCGCGUCGAAUGUGAAAACCCGGGGCUCAACCCCGGGCCUGCAUUCGAUACGGGCAGACUAGAGUUCGGUAGGGGAGUCUGGAAUUCCUGGUGUAGCGGUGAAAUGCGCAGAUAUCAGGAGGAACACCGGUGGCGAAGGCGGGACUCUGGGCCGAUACUGACGCUGAGGAGCGAAAGCGUGGGGAGCAAACAGG
rnacentral:rRNA from 1 species